GAUGAACGCUGGCGGCGUGCCUAAUACAUGCAAGUCGAGCGAACGGACGCGAAGCUUGCUUCUCUGAUGUUAGCGGCGGACGGGUGAGUAACACGUGGAUAACCUACCUAUAAGACUGGGAUAACUACGGGAAACCGUAGCUAAUACCGGAUAAUAUUUUGAACCGCAUGGUUCAAAAGUGAAAGACGGUCUUGCUGUCACUUAUAGAUGGAUCCGCGCUGCAUUAGCUAGUUGGUAAGGUAACGGCCUACCAAGGCAAGGGUGCAUAGCCGACCUGAGAGGGUGAUCGGCCGCCCUGGAACGGAGACAGGGUCCAGACUCCUACGGGAGGCAGCAGUAGGGAAUCUUCCGCCAUGGGCGGAAGCCUGACGGAGCAACGCCGCGUGAGUGAUGAAGGUCUUCGGAUCGGAAAACUCUGUUAUUAGGGAAGAACAUAUGUGUGAGUAACUGGGCACAUCUUUGCGGGUCCUAAUCAGAGAGCCACGGCUUACCUCCUG
rnacentral:rRNA from 1 species